rnacentral:lncRNA from 1 species
GGCCACUAUCCCUCCAAUCGACUAUGGGUACAGUGGCACACACACACGCACUACAGCGAAAGACGCACAAAGGUGCAAACUAGGUAACAACAGAAUAGACCACAGUCGAAAUGCUAGCUGAAAUACGUAAAAAGGUGCACAAAGUAAACAAGAGAGCGGGAGGUACCAACUCCCGAUGGAAAAACCUGAAAGUCUGCUUCGAUGCGCCCAAGU